UGUCCCGCAGAGCCGGGGGCUACCAUGCAGUCGAACGGCUGCCUUUGAGAUCUUGCUCCUUGGGUGGCGAGUGGCGGACGGGUGAGGAAUACAUCGGAAUCUACUCUGUCGUGGGGGAUAACGUAGGGAAACUUACGCUAAUACCGCAUACGACCUACGGGUGAAAGCAGGGGACCUUCGGGCCUUGCGCGAUUGAAUGAGCCGAUGUCGGAUUAGCUAGUUGGCGGGGUAAAGGCCCACCAAGGCGACGAUCCGUAGCUGGUCUGAGAGGAUGAUCAGCCACACUGGAACUGAGACACGGUCCAGACUCCUACGGGAGGCAGCAGUGGGGAAUAUUGGACAAUGGGCGCAAGCCUGAUCCAGCCAUACCGCGUGGGUGAAGAAGGCCUUCGGGUUGUAAAGCCCUUUUGUUGGGAAAGAAAUCCAGCUGGCUAAUACCCGGUUGGGAUGACGGUACCCAAAGAAUAAGCACCGGCUAACUUCGUGCCAGCAGCCGCGGUAAUACGAAGGGUGCAAGCGUUACUCGGAAUUACUGGGCGUAAAGCGUGCGUAGGUGGUCGUUUAAGUCCGUUGUGAAAGCCCUGGGCUCAACCUGGGAACUGCAGUGGAUACUGGGCGACUAGAGUGUGGUAGAGGGUAGCGGAAUUCCUGGUGUAGCAGUGAAAUGCGUAGAGAUCAGGAGGAACAUCCAUGGCGA
rnacentral:rRNA from 1 species